UACGGAGGGUCCAAGCGUUAUCCGGAAUCAUUGGGUUUAAAGGGUCCGUAGGCGGUUUUGUCAGGCAGGGGUGAAAGCCCAUCGCUCAACGGUGGAACGGCCAUUGAUACUGCAAGACUUGAAUUAUUAGGAAGUAACUAGAAUAUGUAGUGUAGCGGUGAAAUGCUUAGAGAUUACAUGGAAUACCAAUGGCGAAGGCAGGUUACUGCUAAUGGAUUGACGCUGAUGGACGAAAGCGUGGGGAGCGAACAGG
rnacentral:rRNA from 1 species